AGGUGUGGAAACGUUCUGGAGCCUGGUUCUACAAAGCCUUGCCGAAGCAUAUUCGUCCCAUUAAGGAUUCAAUUCUAGAUAACAGGAAGCCAGUAAUAGAAAGAGGAGAGCAGCUGCCAGUGGCCAGGAGUGCACCAAUCAGCUACACAUGGGCUCAAAGCAAAGUUAACUUAAGUGAAAGCGAUGGCAGUGAUCCCGAGCUUAGUGAAUGCAGCAGUGACAGGAAGACCUUCAUGUCUGAGACCGAUCAAAGAGAUUUUGAAUCAAGUGGAGGCCAAGUGCAAACCCCUCUGCAGUCCAACAUCACCAGUCCAACUCGAACCAGCUUUCACAUGGAAAGCCCUUCCAGCUUGGCCAGCGAGCGAAGCAGCAGCAGUUUCAAUCCGGGUCUGGAGGAAGAGGUCAUGGACCAUAGUCGACCUUUACUAAUCGCCCCAAAAAUGUGCCAAUUCAGCACCCCGCAAAGCCCGCACCACCAAUUGCUCCCACGGCUCCUAAGCCCGAGCCUCGCCAGCGCUCCCACUCGGCCAGAUGCCAGUUUCCUAAACGCCGACCCAAGAUAGUGUUGGACCCUGCACCUCAGGCGUCAUCCCGAUCUGCGGGACAGGAAGAGGAGGGGGCCAAGUCUCGCUGCAGCCGGACAACCCCCCAAAGCGCUUCUGUUAUGCCUCCAAGCACCCCGUUCAGUUCCGGGUGCCGAUGGCAGUGUGUUUGAGACCAAAAAUACUGUUGUGAACAUGGGGCCCGUUCUAAUCACGUCCACACAACCAACCGCUGUUAUAGCGGGAAAAAUAAAACACAAACAUUUUCAAAAAGAGAGCAAAUUUCCUCUUCCACUCAUUGCGAGCGUCAGGUCCCCCCUAGGCGGCCCACCGCUCGAGCCAAUCCAGCCCCUUGCAGAAGCCUGGCAGGCCAUCCCCGGG
rnacentral:lncRNA from 1 species